AUUGAACGCUGGCGGCAUGCCUUACACAUGCAAGUCGAACGGCAGCAUGGAGAGCUUGCUCUCUGAUGGCGAGUGGCGAACGGGUGAGUAAAGCAUCGGAACGUACCGUGUAGUGGGGGAUAACGUAGCGAAAGUUACGCUAAUACCGCAUACGCACUGAGGUGGAAAGCAGGGGAUCGUAAGACCUUGCGCUAUACGAGCGGCCGAUGUCAGAUUAGCUAGUUGGUAGGGUAAAGGCCUACCAAGGCGACGAUCUGUAGCGGGUCUGGGAGGAUGAUCCGCCACACUGGGACUGAGACACGGCCCAGGCUCCGACGGGAGGCAGCAGUGGGGAAUGUUGGACAAUGGGGGCAACCCUGAUCCAGCCAUGCCGCGUGAGUGAAGAAGGCCUUCGGGUUGUAAAGCUCUUUCGGCCGGGAAGAAAUCGCACAGGCUAAUACCCUGUGUGGAUGACGGUACCGGCAUAAGAAGCACCGGCUAACUACGUGCCAGCAGCCGCCGUAA
rnacentral:rRNA from 1 species